rnacentral:rRNA from 1 species
AGAGUUUGAUCCUGGCUCAGAGCGAACGCUGGCGGCAGGCCUAACACAUGCAAGUCGAGCGCCGUAGCAAUACGGAGCGGCAGACGGGAGAGUAACACGUGGGAACGUGCCCUUUGGUUCGGAACAACACAGGGAAACUUGUGCUAAUACCGGAUAAGCCCUUACGGGGAAAGAUUUAUCGCCAAAGGAUCGGCCCGCGUCUGAUUAGCUUGUUGGUGAGGUAACGGCUCACCAAGGCUACGAUCAGUAGCUGGUCUGAGAGGAUGAUCAGCCUCACUGGGACUGAGACACGGCCCAGACUCCUACGGGAGGCAGCAGUGGGGAAUAUUGGACAAUGGGGGAAACCCUGAUCCAGCGACGCCGCGUGUGUGAAGAAGGCCUGCGGGUUGUAAAGCACUUUUAGUGGGGACA